AGUGAACGCUGGCGGUAGGCCUAACACAUGCAAGUCGAACGGCAGCACAGUAAGAGCUUGCUCUUACGGGUGGCGAGUGGCGGACGGGUGAGGAAUACAUCGGAAUCUACUUUUUCGUGGGGGAUAACGUAGGGAAACUUACGCUAAUACCGCAUACGACCUACGGGUGAAAGCAGGGGAUCUUCGGACCUUGCGCGAUUGAAUGAGCCGAUGUCGGAUUAGCUAGUUGGCGGGGUAAAGGCCCACCAAGGCGACGAUCCGUAGCUGGUCUGAGAGGAUGAUCGGCUACAAUGGAACUGAGACACGGUCCAGAAUCCUACGGGAGGCAGCAGUAGGGAAUGUUGCGCAAGGGGCGAAAGCGUGACGGAGCAACGACGCGUGAGUGAUGAAGGUCUUCGGAUCGUAAAAAUCUGUGAUUAGGGAAGAACAAAGGUGGAAGUAACUAGGCACGUCUGGACGGUACCUAAUCAGAAAGCCACGGCUAACUACGUG
rnacentral:rRNA from 1 species